AGAUUUUCUUAUUAGAUGGAAGGAUUCAGUAAUACUUUCUGACUUGCUGAUUAUGUGAAUUAUCCUGAUUCAUCAUGCCUUCUGUUGACAUGUUAACUGAGUUGUUAUAGUUAUGACAAAUCAUGUUGCUGCCUGCCUAUGAACUUGUCGUAUUGCAUAUUGGACUGGCUUGCUGAUUUUUAUGAAAUGGUUAUGGUUUAAACGCAAGAGUUUGGCUCGAGGUUGUCUGGCUUUGCUGCUGAAGGCAUUGCUGAUCAAUGAGUGCUUGCUAAAAUAUGUUGAAAUUCAUGGUUAUUUUCUCAUGUUCAACUCAUGACUUUGAUGGACUUCUUUUGAAGCCUCAGCGUAGGACUAUGCAGAGAUUUCAAUGUUUGGUAUGUUGUUGCAGAAACAAGGCAAUGACAGAUCAUGUAUGUGUGAUUAGUGCAAUCAUGGUAAACCUCUUGCAUUUGCUUGGAUUGUGUGGUUUUGGUUGUAGGAACAACAUUUCAUGCAUGUAGUUUUUCUUGGCUAUGAGAAUCAUGGUGAUGCAAUCAUAACUUGGCUCAUCAAAGGUCAUGGAAGCAGGCUUGAACUUGGUUCUGUAUGCUAAGUGUAUAUGUUUGGAUGCAUUUCCAUGGCUAUUUUUGCAGGGUUGUGAUGAAUUGGGUCAUACUUGGAUUAGUGCUUGUAAUGAAAUGGUUUCAAGAUAUGGCAAGAGACUUUGAUGACAAAACAAGGCAUGGUGCAAAAAUGGUUUUCUUAUUCAUGAAGAAUGUUUGGUAAUGGAAAGAUGGGAAGGACAUGGAAUUAAAUUAGAAAUUAGGGUUAGGUCAUGAAAAAAAGUUGGUUGACUUUGGUCAUCUGGUUGACCAAAAAGUCAAUAGUUGACCACAAAGUCAACAGUUGACCAAAAAGUCAACCUUUAGAAAAUAUAAUUUUGAUUUCCUUUUGUAAUGAAACAAUGCAUUCUUUGAUAGGUGAGUGUAUAAUCAAUGUUUUAAAUGUAAGGAUCAUCAAUGUAUGAGGAUUAAAACUUAA